rnacentral:lncRNA from 1 species
AAAAAAAAAAAUUUGCUUGAGUCGAAUGCAUCUAUGAUUUAUGAUGAUGAGAGAUGAUCAAUGUUUGAUGAUGAAAUUGCUUGUUUUAUGUGAUAAGGAUUUGAUGUUUGUUUAGCUUUCGAUUCAACGGGACUUAGAAGCGAAUUAUUGCUAGGAAUCACACUUUGUGCAUUGCUUUGGUUGAAUGUUUUGUAUUUUAAAUUUGGAAUUAAUUUGUGCUAGAUCAUGCUAUGUUCGGUUUUAGAACUCAC